AACCACAUCAUACUCUUCUCCUUUGUGGAAACAAAUACGUUUGAGAGGCUGAGAACUUGAAGGUAAAUUAGCAGUAUGGUUACUGUUGCCAGUGUUGUCAGUCACCUUUGUACAAAA
rnacentral:snoRNA from 1 species